GCGGAUGUGGCGGAAUGGUAUACGCGCACGCUUGAGGUGCGUGUGGGCUUAGCCCUUGCGAGUUCGAGUCUCGCUAUCCGCA
rnacentral:tRNA from 2 species